UACGGAGGUGGCAAGCGUUGCUCGGAAUCACUGGGCGUAAAGGGCGCGUAGGCGGUUGGGUAAGUCGGGUGUGAAAACUCCAGGCUCAACUUGGAGACGCCACCCGAUACUGCUCUGACUUGAGUUCGGUAGGGGAGUGGGGAAUUCCUGGUGUAGCGGUGAAAUGCGCAGAUAUCAGGAGGAACACCUGUGGCGAAGGCGCCACUCUGGGCCGAAACUGACGCUGAGGAGCGAAAGCGUGGGUAGCAAACAGG
rnacentral:rRNA from 1 species